rnacentral:rRNA from 1 species
UGAGGAAUAUUGGUCAAUGGGCGAGAGCCUGAACCAGCCAAGUCGCGUGAAGGAAGACAGUCCUAAGGAUUGUAAACUUCUUUUAUACGGGAAUAACGGGCGAUACGAGUAUUGCAUUGAAUGUACCGUAAGAAUAAGCAUCGGCUAACUCCGUGCCAGCAGCCGCGGUAAUACGGAGGAUGCGAUCGUUAUCCGGAUUUAUUGGGUUUAAAGGGUGCGUAGGUUGUUCGGUAAGUCAGCGGUGAAACCUGAGCGCUCAACGUUCAGCCUGCCGUUGAAACUGCCGGGCUUGAGUUCAGUGGCGGCAGGCGGGAUUCGGGGUGUAGCGGUGAAAUGCAUAGAUAUCACGAGGAACUCCGAUUGCGAAGGCAGCAUGCCAUACUGCGACUGACACUGAAGCACGAAGGCGUGGGUAUCAAACAGG